GAUGAACGCUGGCGGCGUGCUUAAUACAUGCAAGUCGAGCGAACAGACGAGGAGCUUGCUCCUUCGACGUUAGCGGCGGACGUGUGAGUCACACGUAGGUCACCUCCCUCUCAGACUGGGAUAACUUCGGGAAACCGGAGCUUAUACCGGACAAUCUUUCGAACCGUAUGGUUCGAUAGUGAAAGUUGGCUUUGCUAUCACUUAUAGAUGGCCCUGCGCCGUAUUAGCUAGUUGGUAGGGUAACGGCUUACCAAGGCAACGAUACGUAGCCGACCUGAGCGAGGGAUCGGCGGCACGAGAACGGGAACGCCGACCAUGGUCCUACGGCAGGCAGCAGUAGGGAAUCGGACGCAGUAGGGGGAAGCCUGACGGAGCAACGCCGCGUGAGUGAUGAAGGUCUUGGGAUCGGAAAACUCUGUUAUGAGUGAAGAACAAACGUGUAAGGAACUGAGGACAUCGUGACGGUACCUAAACAGAAAGCCACGGCUAACUACGUG
rnacentral:rRNA from 1 species